AUACAAUCGAUGAGUCCCAAAUAGAACGAAACGCGCGUCCUGAAU
rnacentral:hammerhead_ribozyme from 1 species